AACGAACGCUGGCGGCAUGCCUAACACAUGCCAGUCGAACGAGACCUUCGGGUCUAGUGGCGCACGGGUGCGUAACGCGUGGGAACCUGCCCUUAGGUUCGGAAUAACUCCCCGAAAGGGGUGCUAAUACCGGAUAAUGUCUUCGGACCAAAGAUUUAUCGCCUUUGGAUGGGCCCGCGUUGGAUUAGCUAGUUGGUAGGGUAAAAGCCUACCAAGGCGACGAUCCAUAGCUGGUCUGAGAGGAUGAUCAGCGACACUGGGACUGAGACACGGCCCAGACUCCUACGGGAGGCAGCAGUGGGGAAUAUUGGACAAUGGGCGAAAGCCUGAUCCAGCAAUGCCGCGUGAGUGAUGAAGGCCUUAGGGUUGUAAAGCUCUUUUACCCGGGAUGAUAAUGACAGUACCGGGAGAAUAAGCUCCGGCUAACUCCGUG
rnacentral:rRNA from 1 species